rnacentral:rRNA from 1 species
GACGAACGCUGGCGGCGUGCUUAACACAUGCAAGUCGAACGGAAAGGCCCUGCUUGCAGGGUACUCGAGUGGCGAACGGGUGAGUAACACGUGGGUGAUCUGCCCUGCACUUCGGGAUAAGCCUGGGAAACUGGGUCUAAUACCGGAUAGGAGCCAUUUUUAGUGUGAUGGUUGGAAAGUUUUUUCGGUGUAGGAUGAGCUCGCGGCCUAUCAGCUUGUUGGUGGGGUAAUGGCCUACCAAGGCGGCGACGGGUAGCCGGCCUGAGAGGGUGGACGGCCACAUUGGGACUGAGAUACGGCCCAGACUCCUACGGGAGGCAGCAGUGGGGAAUAUUGCACAAUGGGCGCAAGCCUGAUGCAGCGACGCCGCGUGGGGGAUGACGGCCUUCGGGUUGGAAACUCAUUUCGCUAGGGACGAAGCUUUUUGUGACGGUACCUAGAUAAGAAGCACCGGCUAACUACGUG